rnacentral:lncRNA from 10 species
CUAUGAUCUGAGUGUUUACAUUCCCCCAAAAUUCAUAUGUUGAGAUCCUAAUCCCCAAGGUGUUAGUAUCAAGAGGUGGAGUCUUUGGAGAGGCAAUUAGUUCACGAGGGCUGGGCCUUCAGGAAUGGUAUCAGUGCUCUUAUAAAAGCGACCCCAGAGAGACAGCCCUACCCUUCCGCCAUGUGAGGACACAUCUAGAAAGUUCCAGCUAAGAACCAGAAAGCAGGCCUUCACCAAACACUAAAUCUGCUGGUGCCUUGAUCUUAGACCUCCCAGCUCCAGAACUAUUAAUGCUCCUUGAUGGCUUCCGCCUUCACCAUAAACGUGAGGGCCUCCAGCACACAGCCCCGGCCUGGGCAGCAGCCUAGUCAAGUGGAAGGAAUGGGAAUGUGAGAAGUCUUCAGCUCAAAGAAUAGCCCCAUGAGUUAAAUCCUAACACCUGACUCACUUCAAGAUCUUGACCUUGCGUCACCUGAGUUGACCUUUUUAGACCCAGAUCUGUCUUCCAAGGAGCUCUCUUGCUUCUCCGUGCUGUACUCAAGCUGCUGUGAUUAUGUCUACACUGCACUGAACCAACAUCGGAUCAGUCCACCGUCUUGUCUCUGAGACCUGCUUAGGUCUCAGGUUCCUGGCUGCGGGAGAGGAAAGGUACAUACUCAGUGGCACUCCACUCUUUUAGCCUGGGAUCUCCCUCACCCCUUUGCUACUUCCCUGGCCCAAAUGGGCCUGCAGUCUCUCAAAAUGCAUCUUGGGUAUCAUGUUCUCUUUCUGUCCUUGUCUGCUUAUCUUUAUUAUGGUGCAUCCUGCCUUAUCUCACUCCUGGCAGCUUCCUCCAGUUUAGACCCCGUGUCUUUAUUUUCUAGCUUCUAAAGCUUUGAGUUUGGUGUACCCAACUGUGCGCGUUUCUCCAGGUUAACUUGGCUUGUAUUUCAGCUCCGGGCUUCCUGGUGCUGACCCUGGCCCUUGAAGUCAUUCCCAAAUGCUCCCUCUUCAAGUUAAGUUUUGCCCUUUGCUGACACACAUUUUCUCCCUGGGCUCCCAUGUAACCUGGACUAUGUUGAAGCCUCUCUUUAAUGGCACUCUGUUAUAGUCUACAACUGAAUUGUGCAUUUCCAGGAAAAUAUCGUAACUGCAACCUAUAGAAAAAGUCACACAGCUUCUGUAUAUUCAUUCCUUUCGGUAAAAUCUUAUCUCUUCUUCCUCCCAUGGGCAACACAAGGUUUUCCAAGGACCAGGGCCUCUUCUCUGGAACAUCUAGGUAAGGUACCCACAAAGCCUAGGCAAACAAAGGUAGGACCUGGCAGAGGGGUUUGGGGCAGGAGUUGUAUCCUAACUUCUGGCCCUUCCUCCAUUGAGAAGAAAAUUCUCUUUCAUUCAUUCAUGUGUUGAGUACCUUCAGUGAGUCAGGAUCUCAGAACCAGAUGCUGGCGAUUCAGAGGUGAUACAAGUAGUGAAUUCCAGGAGCUCACAGUCUAUGGGGUGAAUAAAUGCUUUAUCAUGCGGUACAAACCAGGGCCCAGGAAUAUACAGUGCACAG